rnacentral:rRNA from 1 species
GUCCACGCCGUAAACGAUGGGUGCUAGGUGUGGGGGGUGUCAACUCCCUCCGUGCCGAAGCUAACGCAUUAAGCACCCCGCCUGGGGAGUACGGCCGCAAGGCUAAAACUCAAAGGAAUUGACGGGGGCCCGCACAAGCAGCGGAGCAUGUGGUUUAAUUCGACGCAACGCGAAGAACCUUACCAAGGCUUGACAUGCAUUUGAAAAACGUGGAAACACGUUCCCUCUUCGGAGCAAAUGCACAGGUGGUGCAUGGCUGUCGU